AGCUCUACAAAAUAAAUACUUUUUUUUGUUGCUCUGAUUUUUUCUGUGAAUCCUGGUGUUUGAGAACGUAAAACUUACGAAUAUAAUUAUGAUUAUAUUAGAUUGGCUCUGGUUUUUAUGUUAUUGUAGUAUUGUAUUCGAGAUGACUCAAUGUUUAAAGGCGAAUUUCUCUUGAACGGUUAAAGUUCUAUAUCAGUAGUUUUUUAUAGAGCGUGAAAUUUCCUAUAAGAAUCUGUUAAUACAGAUAGUUUAUUAGAUGCACACGUCUAAACUCCAGUC
rnacentral:lncRNA from 1 species